rnacentral:ncRNA from 1 species
UCAUGUUCGACAAAACGCAUCGCGUUUUGGACGCCCGCCAGGGCGCUCCGAAGGGGUGAGUAAUCCGCCAAUGCGGAUUGCGAAUCAAUCAUGCCGGG